AAAACUUGCAUUAUAUUACAAUGCAUCUCCUGAAUGCAACUCAAGCACUUUAAUUAAGCUAAAGCUUU
rnacentral:tRNA from 1 species